rnacentral:rRNA from 1 species
GCAAUGCCGCGUGAGUGAAGAAGGCCUUCGGGUUGUAAAGCUCUUUUGUCAGGGAAGAAACGGUGUUUUCUAAUACAGAGCGCUAAUGACGGUACCUGAAGAAUAAGCACCGGCUAACUACGUGCCAGCAGCCGCGGUAAUACGUAGGGUGCAAGCGUUAAUCGGAAUUACUGGGCGUAAAGCGUGCGCAGGCGGUUUUGUAAGACUGUCGUGAAAUCCCCGGGCUCAACCUGGGAAUGGCGAUGGUGACUGCAAGGCUAGAGUUUGGCAGAGGGGGGUAGAAUUCCACGUGUAGCAGUGAAAUGCGUAGAUAUGUGGAGGAACACCGAUGGCGAAGGCAGCCCCCUGGGUCAAAACUGACGCUCAUGCACGAAAGCGUGGGGAGCAAACAGGAUUAGAUACCCUGGUAGUCCACGCCCUAAACGAUGUCUACUAGUUGUCGGGUUUUAAUUAACUUGGUAACGCAGCUAACGC